rnacentral:lncRNA from 12 species
CAGGCGCAGGGUUGACAGCCCGGAGCACCGUCCCUGGCCAUGGAAGCCUAGAGUCGGGGUCCGCGCUCCGACGGUUCUAAGCGACCUCUCCGAGCCCUGACCUCGUCCGUGCCGCGCGGCUUUUCUGAGUGUUCAGUGGGACAGUGCACAGGAGCCCUAGUGAGGACUCACCAGGUGAGGUCAGGUGAGGACUCACCACGCUGGGCGGUGCCCGGGCCGUGCCUCCUCUCCCGCGCGGGGCGGCCUGCUUCUUUCUGGGAUCAUGUCUCUCUUCUUCGGGACAACAGCACUUUCAAAUAGUCUGACCUACUGUCUCCACAAAUCAAUAAAAUAACGGAGAAAUCCCAGCAAUUGAUAAAUAGUAACCGAAUGGGUCCAAGCAGGAAUACGAUGAAAAUACACGCGUCACAGAAACUGAGCCACCGGCCCAAGGACUUCGGGGAUUAACGGGGACACGUGUGCGUGUGGGGCCACGUUCAGGCAACGGUGUGCAUGUGUGUGCUGUGGUUUGCGCGGUGAAUUCGGAGAACACUAUAGAAUCUGCGAGUUGGGGGCAAUGCAAAGUGAUGCAGGCCAAGGCGGGGCCGGGGAGGAGACCGCGAUUUCCCCAGGACUAUUCUAUGGAGGGAGCAGUUGUUAAUUCCAGUCCGGACUCUUCAUCAUUAGAGAAAUGAAAUAUUGGACAAAGCGGUAAAUUUGAAGAAGAAAGACAGAGAGUGGAAUCAUAGACCUUCAGAGCCGGGUGGAGGGCCUGACGGGCCCUGCGUGAGC